CCCUGCUCUUAUGAACUGAUCGUGCCCAGGGUUUUCACGUCUCGUCUUCGUCUUUGUCUUCUACCUUCUCAUCAUCGACCGCGAGACGCAGAGAAUCGAGCCUGUUCAGUAUCCCUAACGCCUCCGAUUUCAAUAACUCUGCAACUAAACUCCGCUGAGCGGUAGAGAAGGCGAGAGCCACCACUGGAUCUCUCUCUCUCUCUCUCCCGUGCCGGAUCUCUCUCUCUCUCUCCCGUGCCUCGCUCUGUCACGUUUACAUCUCUCUCUCUCUCUCUCUGUGAGUUUUUAUUUCGAUUUGAAAGCUGGCUACUGUCACGAACACCGUCAAAGUCCGAUUGUUGAGGUUUUGGAAAGCUCAUGGGGUAGACAUGUCCUCUUCGACCAGAAGGUCUUCAAAACGAAUUGCAGUAUACUAGGAAAAUCUAUGUCACCGGCACGGAAGAGCACACAAAACCACCAUGAACGUGCUUACAAUAGCUGGAAUCAUAGGAAAAGAAGGCAUCGAGUGAAAAAGAUGAAUUUUAAUUGAGCAAGAGAUUCACAUGUUGCGAGAAAAAAGAUUUGCUCAAUGGAAAGAGAGGUAAGGAUGAUAAUUUCAGACCUAAGUUCAAUACCAGAAAGACCUGGCAGCUUACACGUGGAAUACACCAACUAAGCUUUGGUAUAAGGGGGUAUGGUUCUUGCACGCAACCCCUAAAUUCUCUCUUCUUUCUUGGAUUGCAAUCCAUGACAGGUUUUCCACAGGAGAUCAUAUAAGGAAGUGGAACUCUGGAGCAUCCACCACUUAUAUCCUUUAGAGACCCUGACCAUCUUUAUUUUCACUAAGUUUUUGGAGAAGGUAUGGGAAAAUCUUACUUUAAAGCUUUUUGGUUCAAGUACACAACAGUAGAAACGGAUAUUAGAUAUUCUGGUUGAAAUUAUUGGGAUCAAGUCAAUAAGUUUAUCAUUCAGUAUGUAUUCCAAGCAACAAUUCACUUAGUAUGACGGAAGAGGAACGUAAUGACUUCAAUUCCUGCAUCUUGUGUAAUACAAAACAUUGACAAAAUGGUCUGGUAAAAAAUUUCAUCUCUGCUAGGAUAAGAGGCAAUCAAUAUGUAGAAGCUAUGGAAAUUUGGUUUGCUUCAAGGUGACAAAUCUGAUCUUCAAAUAACUUUGGGAAAUUUGUUAACUAAUCAUUUGUCUCAACACACCUUUUCUAUUAUUUACCCUUUUUGUUCAUUUUACCCUUUACUAAAUUAUAAAAUAUUAUAAAUAAAUACAUUUCUGAACUUUUACAAUAAAAUAAAAAACAAAACAUUAAUAUUUGAUUGGUUAGAAUUUAUUUUCGAAGAAUUAAUUUUUUUUUAUAAAUUUUCUAAAACUAACUCUGCUUAAUCUAGAAGUCUCUGAUUUCUAUAGGAGAUGAAAAGACUUCCAACAAAGUCCCAUAGAAAAUAAAACUCUUAUCUAUUUUUGUUAUACAGGCCUGUAAGAGUGUAUUAGACAAGUAUUUGGGGGUAAACAUUACUUCGCCAACAACAAACAUAUGAAGGAUGUCUCAGGUGGUGUGUACUGCUCAAAUGUAAUAGGUAGGACAAGAGAGAGCAUGUUGCUAACGAAAUGGGAAAGGAUGAGAAAAGAGAAUUAUUUAAUUAGAUCUUUGUUUUGUUCGGCUGUGGAUAAGAUUCUCCUACUUUUGGAUUAUAGAUAUUGAGUGCAGGUUUUGAAAUUUUGAUAGCGAGUCUGGAGCGAAAGGUUUUGUUUCCUUUACUGAGAUCUCUACUUCAUCAAAGAUAUGCAUGCAGUCACUGUUUUGUCACACUGAGUUCUCACAUGUUGACAAUUCAUGCUGGUUCAGAUGAUAUGUUUCUGUACAGAUAUACAAAAAGUGUAAAAGAAACUGAGAUCAAAUGCCUGGAGCAAGGGCUGUAUUGGACUUUGAGUGUCUCGCAACGACUGAUUCAAUAAGUGGGUUCACCAUUUCUGGCUUCUCAUCCUGCAAAAUUUACAGAAAUGCAAUAAGAAGAAGAAUAGAGGGUUACUUCAUUGGAGAGAGGAGAGACCUGAGGAGCUGCAUCAAAAUUACCAUAAGCUCGUCCAAGCUUGAUUGGAUCCCAUGGAUCUUUUUCUCCCCAUGCAACUAGAACCGGGCACUGCAAAUAGUUAAAUGACAUGGUCAUGGUAAAGUAAAAACUUUAAAGGUUUAGUUUUAACUACGGCUAAGGAUUAAGAUCAGAGUAAAGAACCUUGAACUGUGGGAGUAAAUCCUCUGGAAGCGGUCCACCAUAGUAACAGAUGAAUUCAAGGACGACAUCAACUGCACCAGGCUCAAGACCUGGCCUUAUAAUUGCCUCAGUUAUUGAGAGCUAUUAUAGUAGCACUAAAUUGCAAAAAAUUUCCUUAAGCUCACUUACAAGAUAUAAAAAUCAUGGAACUUACAACAGUCAUCAAGUACCUGGCUAAGAAUGCUUCUUUAGUCACGUUUAUCUUACAAAAGUUGUAACCUCAGAAAUCCCAUUUAGUCAUCAGCUUCCAAAUCUUUCUUUGUCCAUGAUCUGAAAUAUGCUCUGUUAACUUUCCUGCAACAAGCAAACCAUCUCCUCCCAAGUACACAUGGACAUGCUAAAACGUAUACUUUCACGCACGGACGCACCAGACUAUCCACAUUUUUCCAUUCUUUAAAAAAGACUACCAAUAACUCCAAUAGACAUGUUUCUUAGAAAAUAAAAAAAAACUACACUUCACCUCCAAUACAAAUGUGAUUGUUACAUUAGUCAUACGAAUAAUAUUAUAGCACCAACAAACCAUUUUAAUUGAAAACUAGAAUUAGAAUUAUAAAAUAACUAAGACGAGGUAGCAACUGCUAGAGUCCAAGCCUACGGAUUAGCACUUCAAGAGCUCCCUGACCCGUAAUGAGCACAAAAAGCAGUAUACAUGGAAAUAAGAGCAUUUCUAAUUUAUAUUCCACUUUGUGUUUGAAAAUUUUCUGUAAUUCCACUUUAUAACUCUAUAAUAAAGUUAAAAAUAGAAUUACACUACUUUUGUAUUCGUUAUUAUACUUUGUAAAGUAUGAAAGUAAAACUCAGGUUAUCAAUAAA